rnacentral:rRNA from 1 species
UACAGAGGUCUCAAGCGUUGUUCGGAUUCAUUGGGCGUAAAGGGUGCGUAGGCGGCGCGGUAAGUCGGGUGUGAAAUCUCGGAGCUUAACUCCGAAACUGCAUUCGAUACUGCCGUGCUUGAGGACUGGAGAGGAGACUGGAAUUUCCGGUGUAGCGGUGAAAUGCGUAGAUAUCGGAAGGAACAUCAGUGGCGAAAGCGACUUCCUGGACCAGUACCGACGUUCAGGCACGAAAGCGUGGGGAGCAAACAGG